UACGGGGGGGGCAAGCGUUGUUCGGAAUUACUGGGCGUAAAGGGUGCGUAGGUGGGUUGGUAAGUCAGUGGUGAAAUCUCCAGGCUUAACUUGGAAACUGCCAUUGAUACUAUUAAUCUUGAAUACCGUGGAGGUCAGCGGAAUAUGUCAUGUAGCGGUGAAAUGCUUAGAUAUGACAUAGAACACCAAUUGCGAAGGCAGCUGGCUACACGAAUAUUGACACUGAUGCACGAAAGCGUGGGGAUCAAACAGG
rnacentral:rRNA from 1 species